rnacentral:rRNA from 1 species
AUGCCGCCGCGGGGCUCUCGCCGGCGGAGUUCCGCCUGGCCCUCCCGCGCGACCUCCCGUUCUUCCACGUGGAGGUGCCUCGCUCGCUUCCACCGCGCCACCUCCAUGGACCUCGCCGCGCACUACCUCCACCUCUUGCUGUCACGCAUCAGCAGGUUCCCCGCGCUCCAGAGACUGUCCCUCUCGUCCCCCCGCGUCGACCUCGCCGACUUGCUCCACAGCUGCCCGUGCCUGCGGGUGCUCAGGGUGGCCGACGGGUUCCUCGACAGCAACAUCGCCAUCAAAUCGGAGUCUUGGGAGGAGCUCGCUGCGGAGAGCCUGAACAAAUGGACAGACUGUAUCUACAUCGAGGCGCCUAUGCUCAAGAAAUUGGCAGUGUGA